UACAGAGGUCUCAAGCGUUGUUCGGAUUCAUUGGGCGUAAAGGGUGCGUAGGUGGCAUGGUAAGUCGGAUGUGAAAUCCCGGGGCUCAACCCCGGAACUGCAUUCGAUACUGCUGCGCUAGAGUACUGGAGAGGAGAUUGGAAUUUACGGUGUAGCAGUGAAAUGCGUAGAUAUCGUAAGGAAGACCAGUGGCGAAGGCGGAUCUCUGGGCCUUACCUGACGCUGAGGCGCGAAAGCUAGGGGAGCGAACAGG
rnacentral:rRNA from 1 species